rnacentral:rRNA from 1 species
UACGAAGGGUGCAAGCGUUACUCGGAAUUACUGGGCGUAAAGCGUGCGUAGGCGGUUUGUUAAGUCCGCUGUGAAAGCCCUGGGCUCAACCCGGGAAUUGCAGUGGAUACUGGCAAGCUAGAGUGCGGUAGAGGAUGGUGGAAUUCCCGGUGUAGCGGUGAAAUGCGUAGAGAUCGGGAGGAACACCCGUGGCGAAGGCGGCCAUCUGGACCAGCACUGACGCUGAGGCACGAAAGCGUGGGGAGCGAACAGG